UUCCUACGGGACGCAGCAGUAGGGAAUCUUGCACAAUGGGCGCAAGCCUGAUCGAGCAAUGCCGCGUGUCUGAAGAAGGUCUUCGGAUCGUAAAAGCCUGUUGUUAGAGAAGAAAGUGUGUGAGCGAAUAUCUUCACGUUUUGACGGUAUCUAAACAGAAAGCACCGGCUAACUACGUGCCAGCAGCCGCGGUAAUACGUAGGUGGCAAGCGUUAUCCGGAUUUAUUGGGCGUAAAGCGAACGCAGGCGGUUUUUUAAG
rnacentral:rRNA from 1 species